rnacentral:misc_RNA from 1 species
ACGUCAUAGGCCAGUUGUAUCCAAGCACCCAUGAGGUCCCAUUUCUCCGGGUCGGUCACAAAUACCUUAGCAAUACCUUUCGGUGUCACGUGAAUUUCCUAAUCAGCCAACCAGCAUUGAGGGGUCUAAGUUCACUGUACGAGUGAGCAAAGCAUUCGAACCAGCAUGUGUGAUCUCUGUGUUUCAUGACAAGUCAACCUGGCCAAGUAUGUACCGGAAUGUACCGGAAUGUACCUCAGUGGGCCAGGGCUAGACAGAUUCCAAGAUCUUAAAUUGUGAUCACAGGAAUUUUUAUUGACGAGAGGGAUGGGAUCCGUUUGGCAAAACAUGACAGGAUACUACCAGGACAGUCUGGACAGGGGAGAUCCUCGUGUGUCCGGCUGGCUGUUGAUGGACUCCCCUGUCCCGAGUGUUGUGAUCUUCUUGCUGUACCUGUUGGUGGUAUGGCUGGGCCCACGCAUCAUGGCUGGCCGGAAGCCUGUCAACUUGAAGCUCGUUCUCAUCCCCUACAACUUUGGUCUCGUGGCUCUGUCCUGCUACAUGUUCUGUGAGUUUGUGGUCACAUCUACUCUUUCCCACUACAGCUUCCUGUGUCAACCAGUCGACUAUUCCGACAGCCCUUUAGCACUACGGAUGGCACAAGUCUGCUGGUGGUUCUUUUUCUCCAAAAUCAUCGAACUUCUAGACACGGUGUUCUUCAUAUUACGUAAGAAGAAUGAUCAGGUGACCUUCCUCCACGUCUACCAUCACUGCACCAUGAUCGCCAACUGGUGGCUCGGGGUCAAGUACGUCGCCGGCGGCCAGUCCUUCUUCGUGGCGAUGCUCAACUCGGGUGUGCAUAUAGCCAUGUACCUGUACUACGCGCUGUCCUGCCUGGGCCCGCACAUGCAGAAGUACCUGUGGUGGAAGAAGUACCUCACUCGCCUUCAGCUGACCCAGUUCCUGGCGUUUGUGGUGCACACUGGCUACAACCUGAUGACAGACUGCGACUUCCCCCGCGGCUUCAACAUCGCUGUCUUCCUGUACGCCCUCUCCCUCAUCCUCCUGUUCGGCAACUUCUACUACCGUGCAUACACAUUACGACAACGGGAAGCCAAGAAGAAGCAGUGAUGACUGUUUGACUCAGGGUUUUAACAUUUCACGCAUGACAUGACUAUUUUACGUUCUCAGCUGAUGGCUGAAUCUGGUUUGGUAUACAAGACAAUACACGUGGUGACCUUAAUCUCUGCAUAUAAAACAAUUCCAAGCAGAACAGGAAAUACAAUUUAAUCGGUAAAUCAUCAUGUCUAGUGAUGUGUUAUCUCAAAUUUGUAUUGACCAAGUUUAAUAGUUAUGAUCUGUUCACUUCCCCGAAUUCACUGAAGGGAUACGAUGUAAUUUUUUUCUGCAGAAGACGAACACGUUUUUAUUGCAAAUGUAGGGAUUGUGUAGCUGCUGGUGAUGUGCUUCAUUCUGAUUGGCUUUAUAGACGGGGUAUAUAAAGUAGCAUCGAUUUUGAUGGCUUGUACAGGGGAGUCGCCUUAUACGUGGGGUCACUUUAUAGAAGGCGAUAUACAGUACCCUAGCAUAUAAUACAGAAACUGUCCAUCUGUCUGUGCAUAAGUUCUCUAUUGAUCAUUGCUCAUGGGUUUAAUAUAUUUUCACAAAACUUGGCUUGGUGUCUGAAGGUGUCUGAAGGAUAUGUCUGAUGAAUAUCCCGGUUAAUGGAUCAAUGUGCACUCUAUUUCAUUCUCAUCUCCCUGGGGAGUAUACAACCCAAGCGGCCAAGGCACUUGAAGGUUAACAGACACAUUACCAUCUCAUCCGCACAUUGCAAUAUAGUCAAAUGCCUUGUUAAAGAAACAAAAGACAUCAGAAAUGUCUUUUUUCUCACCUAUUGAUCAGGUAGUACUUGUUACCCAACUUAGUGCUCCUUAUCAAGUGAGACCGCCUCCGUGGUCUAGUGGUAGAGCGUCCGCCCGGAGUGCGGAAGGUCCGGGGUUUGAUCCUCGACCGCGUCAUACCA